UACGUAGGGUGCGAGCGUUAAUCGGAAUUACUGGGCGUAAAGCGUGCGCAGGCGGUUUCUUAAGUCAGAUGUGAAAGCCCCGGGCUUAACCUGGGAACUGCGUUUGAAGCUGGGAGACUUGAGUGUGGCAGAGGGGGGUGGAAUUCCACGUGUAGCAGUGAAAUGCGUAGAUAUGUGGAGGAACACCGAUGGCGAAGGCAGCCCCCUGGGUUAACACUGACGCUCAUGCACGAAAGCGUGGGGAGCAAACAGG
rnacentral:rRNA from 1 species